rnacentral:rRNA from 1 species
CACGUACUGUGCAAACGUUAUUCGGAAUCACUGGGCUUAAAGGGUACGUAGGCGGUUUGGAAAGUCAGAUGUGAAAUGCCACAGCUCAACUGUGGCACUGCGUUUGAAACUUCCAGACUAGAGUAUUCCAGGGGUAUGCGGAACUUAUGGUGGAGCGGUGAAAUGCGUUGAUAUCAUGAGGAACACCGGAGGCGAAGGCGGCAUACUGGGGGAUAACUGACGCUGAGGUACGAAAGCCAGGGUAGCAAAUGGG